rnacentral:tRNA from 1 species
UAGCUUAGUGGUAGAGCGGUCGGCUGUUAACUGAUUGGUCGUAGGUUCAAUUCCUACUU